GAUGAAGAACGCAGCGAAAUGCGAUACGUAAUGUGAAUUGCAGAAUUCAGUGAAUCAUCGAGUCUUUGAACGCACAUUGCGCCCCCUGGUAUUCCGGGGGGCAUUCCUGUCCGAGCGUCAUUGCUGCCCUCAAGCACGGCUUGUGUGUUGGGCCUCCGUCCUCCUCCCGGGGGACGGGCCCGAAAGGCAGCGGCGGCACCGCGUCCGGUCCUCGAGCGUAUGGGGCUUCGUCACCCGCUCUUGUAGGCCCGGCCGGCGCUUGCCGACACAUCAAUCUUUUUUCCAGGUUGACCUCGGAUCAGGUAGGGAUACCCGCUGAACUUAAGCAUAUCAAUAAGCGGAGGA
rnacentral:misc_RNA from 1 species